rnacentral:misc_RNA from 1 species
AACGGCGGCGUGGCCCCGCCAGCACCCCGUCGGUGUGCAAACGUAAGUUCCCAACGCAACGGGCCUCGACUCGUGGGAAGCCUCGCCGUUUACGGCGAGGAGGAGGUCACAAUUUCGUUC